GACGAACGCUGGCGGCGUGCUUAACACAUGCAAGUCGAACGGAAAGGCCCUGCUUUUGUGGGGUGCUCGAGUGGCGAACGGGUGAGUAACACGUGAGUAACCUGCCCUUGAUUUUGGGAUAACUUCAGGAAACUGGGGCUAAUACCGGAUAGGAGCUCCUGCUGCAUGGUGGGGGUUGGAAAGUUUCGGCGGUUGGGGAUGGACUCGCGGCUUAUCAGCUUGUUGGUGGGGGAGUGGCUUACCAAGGCUUUGACGGGUAGCCGGCCUGAGAGGGUGACCGGCCACAUUGGGACUGAGAUACGGCCCAGACUCCUACGGGAGGCAGCAGUGGGGAAUAUUGCACAAUGGGCGGAAGCCUGAUGCAGCAACGCCGCGUGCGGGAUGACGGCCUUCGGGUUGUAAACCGCUUUCGCCUGUGACGAAGCGUGAGUGACGGUAAUGGGUAAAGAAGCACCGGCUAACUACGUG
rnacentral:rRNA from 1 species